AUUGAACGCUGGCGGCAGGCCUAACACAUGCAAGUCGAGCGGAUGAAGGGAGCUUGCUCCUGGAUUCAGCGGCGGACGGGUGAGUAAUGCCUAGGAAUCUGCCUGGUAGUGGGGGAUAACGUCCGGAAACGGGCGCUAAUACCGCAUACGUCCUGAGGGAGAAAGUGGGGGAUCUUCGGACCUCACGCUAUCAGAUGAGCCUAGGUCGGAUUAGCUAGUUGGUGGGGUAAAGGCCUACCAAGGCGACGAUCCGUAACUGGUCUGAGAGGAUGAUCAGUCACACUGGAACUGUAACACGGUCCAGACUCCUAAGGGAGGCAGCAGUGGGGAAUAUUGGACAAUGGGCGAAAGCCUGAUCCAGCCAUGCCGCGUGUGUGAAGAAGGUCUUCGGAUUGUAAAGCACUUUAAGUUGGGAGGAAGGGCAGUAAGUUAAUACCUUGCUGUUUUGACGUUACCAACAGAAUAAGCACCGGCUAACUUCGUG
rnacentral:rRNA from 1 species